GCAUCGAUGAAGAACGUAGCGAAAUGCGAUAAGUAAUGUGAAUUGCAGAAUUUUGUGAAUCAUCGAAUCUUUGAACGCACAUUGCGCCC
rnacentral:rRNA from 1 species